rnacentral:rRNA from 1 species
GACGAACCGUGCGAACGUUGUUCGGAAUUACUGGGCGUAAAGGGCUCGUAGGCGGCCGGCUAAGUCCGACGUGAAAUCCCCAGGCUUAACCUGGGAACUGCGUCGGAUACUGGCGGGCUUGAAUCCGGGAGAGGGAUGCGGAAUUCCAGGUGUAGCGGUGAAAUGCGUAGAUAUCUGGAGGAACACCGGUGGCGAAGGCGGCAUCCUGGACCGGCAUUGACGCUGAAUAGCGAAAGCCAGGGGAGCAAACGGG